ensembl:lncRNA
AUGGCUCACACGGAGCCUGCCUGGUGGUCUCUUUAUGCAAGUGACACACUUAACAUUUGGUGCCAAAACCUGAAAUGGAGGAACUACAGGAUACCAAAUGCCUUUCCCUACUUCUGUGCUCCCUCCGUAAAGAGACCUACCUAUGACCUAGGUUCAUCAGACCAGCCUGUACAGCCACUCACCUUCCUCGGAUCAGACUUCACCCUUCCAGAAUCAACCAGAAACACCAAUCCAUCACUCAUGAGCUCCAGGCAAUGCCCUGCUAAUGUCAAGAUGCAACGUGAUACCUCUCCAGAACCUGCACAUAUCCCUUUCACAAUCCAAGUCUUCUGGGACCACCCCACUACACUGGACAGUACCCCAAUCUUGGACCAAGGCUUCCUCUCAACUACAAAAAUCACAGACUUUCCUUUUAGGUGUCCACACAGCCCCCUGUCAUGCUCAAAGAAGCCGUGAGAACAUCACCCCUACUCCCUUCCCUAACAUUUUUUUUUUUUUACUACUCUGCACUUAUUGGUAAGAUACUUAACUUUUUUAUUUAUACAUAUAUAAAAAGAGGGAAUAUCAGGCCUCCAAGUCCAAGCCUGGCCAUUAUAGACUUGGUGACCUGCACAUACACCUCUGGGUGGUCCCCAAGAGCCAGAAAGUCUGAGGUAACCACAAGUAACCAGGUGGCCACAGAAAGAAGGGAAACAACCUGCUCCUGUCUCAACUAAUUGCUCUCCCACUGCAACCAUUGUUCCUGCUCAGCUUUGUAAAAAUUUCCUCCUGGGCAUCAGAUUGCUCAAACACCCACCCCUGUAACUAUGUAAUUUACCUCAACCUCCCCUUAGCUUGCAUCCAAUAACCCCCACCCUUUUGACCAUGCCUGUUUGUAAUAGGUAACCCUUACCCUUGUGACCAUGCAUCCCGUGAUGCCCUUCCCCUCCCUAAAACAGAUUACCACCUUUAACUAAUCAUUUGCUCCAACCUAUAAAAUCAACUCCUAACCCACCACAUUCUGCUGACUCUUUUUUUUUGGACUCAGCCCACCCGCAUCCAGGUCUAUAAACAGCCAUGUUGCUCACACAAAGCCUGCCUGGUCUCUACAUGAGCCACACACCUAACACAGAGAUUUUAUAAACCCUGUACACCCAUGCUCAGCCUCCUCCAACAUCAACAUCCCUCACCAGAGUGCUACAUUUGUUUCAAUUAGUGAAACUACGCUGACACAUCAACUAUCAUCCAUAGUUAUAUUAGAGUUUAUUCUUGGUAUUGUACCUUCUAUGAGUUUUGAAAAAUGUACAUUGAUAUAUCCUAUUAGUCCAUUCCUACACUGCUAUAAAGACAUACCUAAGACUAGGUAAUUUAUAAAGGAAAGGGGUUAAAUUGAUUGACUCACAAUUCCAUGUGUCUGGGGAGGCCUUGGGAAACUGAAAAUCAUGGCACAAAGUGAAAGGGAGGCAGGCACCGUCUUCACAAGGUGGCAGGAGAGAGUGAAUAAGAGAACAAGGAAGUGCCCAUUGUAAAACCAUCAGCACUCCUGAGACUCACUGUCUCAGGAACAGCAUGGGGGAACUGCCCCCACAAUUCAGUCACCUUGCAUUAGGUUCCUCCCUUGACUUGUGGGGAUUAUAAUUCAUGAUGAGAUUUAGGUAGGGACACAGCCAAAACAGAACACGUGUAUCUCCAUCGCACAGAAUACUUUCCAUCCUGAGGACUAACUAAGCCCUGAUUUUUUUAUCUUGCCCAAAUUCCUCUCCAAGGGGUGUGGGGAGUCACAAACCAUAAAUUUUUAUCAGAUGGAUUUUAUUUAACACUAUAUAUAAUGACUUACUUUCCAACCUGACCCUGGCAUAACAUUAGGAGAUGAGGAAAAAAAUCAAAAUAUUUUACCCCCAAAUCAUGUUUCUUUGUUGUAUUUUGAAACUGUCCUUUGUGGGGGGAAACGUGCAUCUGUAAAGAAUCUCCAUUACCAGGGCUAGAUCCUUCUCUUCCAGGCCUUCUCAAUCCUGAGGAGAUUCAGUAAAGAGUCUAGCAUCUUUUAAAGAUCUGAAAAUUAGAAACAUUUAUCAUCUUUAAGGACAGCCACCAUAAGACUUCAAAAGAGCCUCGGUCUCCACAAUCUUUUAUCUUAACCUGAACAUUUCCUUUAUAUAUUGAUCCCAGGUCUUUAGACAAACUCGAACAACUGUCAGUCAGAAAAUGUUUAAAUUUACCUACAACCUGGAACACCCCCCACCCACCUCCUGCUCACUGUGAGUUGUCCUGCCUUUCUGAAC